AAAUACUUUAUUUUCUUCUGCACAAGUUAAGUAAAUAUUGAAUUGUUUUGUUUCCUCCUUCCUUAAAUCGAACUCUUUCCGAAAAUUGGAUGCGAUUAAAUAUCUUUUUUAUUAGUUAUAUUUUUAAGUUAGCAGAGAAAGGAAUGAGAUGAGAACACGGCUUCUGCAGUUACAAGCUUAUAGAGUCAAUCAUAUUCAUGGAAUGUUUGCCGCUAACCAAGGAGAUUUGGUGAUGUUGCAGCCGCACCUUGAGGGGAGAACAAGGGAGCGGUCAUACUUUUUGCAAGAUAGGCCAACGUCUACCGUACUGGUUUUCGUUUAUGUCGGAUUCUUUGUUUAUCAUCUACUAGUCAAUUUCUUUUUUCUACGUUUUCAUCGCUCUUCUAUC
rnacentral:lncRNA from 1 species